rnacentral:lncRNA from 10 species
AUCAGACAUAUAAUUUAUUUAUAAAGUGCUUGAAGAUAUUUUCAUUACAUCCACAAAAGGGAAGGCUCUUACUUGGGCAGAAAUGUAUUACUUAUUGUGCCUAUUUUCUUUUUUUUUUUGAGACGGAGUCUCACUCUGUCACCCAGGCUGGAGUGCAGUGGCACGAUCUUGGCUCACUGCAAGCUCCACCUCCCAGGUUCACGCCAUUCUCCUGCCUCUGCCUCCCGAGUAGCUGGGACUACAGGUGCCUGCCACCAUGCCUGGCUAGUUUUUUUUUGUUUUUUUUUUUUGUAUUUUUAGUAGAGACGGGGUUUCACCGUGUUAGCCAGGAUGGUCUUGAUCUCCCUACCUCGCGAUCCGCCCACCUCGGCCUCCCAAAGUGCUGAGAUUACAGGCGUGAGCCACUGCGCCCAGCCAAGAAUCUUGGGGUGAUCUCAGCUCACUGCAACCUCUGCCUUCUGGGUUCAAGCGAUUCUCCUGUCUCAGCCUCUUGAGUAGUUGGGAUUACAGACUUGUGUAUUUCAACAGAUAAAAACAAAUUGGGCUGGGCGCAGUGGCUCACGCCUGUAAUUCCAGCACUUUGGGAGGCCGAGGUGGGUGGAUCACGAGGUCAGGAGAUCUAGACCAUCCUGGCUAACACGGUGAAACCCGUCUCUACUAAAAA